rnacentral:rRNA from 1 species
GACGAACGCUGGCGGCGUGCUUAACACAUGCAAGUCGAACGGAAAGGCCCUGCUUUUGUGGGGUGCUCGAGUGGCGAACGGGUGAGUAACACGUGAGUAACCUGCCCUUGACUUUGGGAUAACUUCAGGAAACUGGGGCUAAUACCGGAUAGGAGCUCCUGCUGCAUGGUGAGGGUUGGAAAGUUUCGGCGGUUGGGGAUGGACUCGCGGCUUAUCAGCUUGUUGGUGGGGUAGUGGCUUACCAAGGCUUUGACGGGUAGCCGGCCUGAGAGGGUGACCGGCCACAUUGGGACUGAGAUACGGCCCAGACUCCUACGGGAGGCAGCAGUGGGGAAUAUUGCACAAUGGGCGGAAGCCUGAUGCAGCAACGCCGCGUGCGGGAUGACGGCCUUCGGGUUGUAAACCGCUUUCGCCUGUGACGAAGCGUGAGUGACGGUAAUGGGUAAAGAAGCACCGGCUAACUACGUGCCAGCAGCCGCGGUGAUACGUAGGGUGCGAGCGUUGUCCGGAUUUAUUGGGCGUAAAGGGCUCGUAGGUGGUUGAUCGCGUCGGAAGUGUAAUCUUGGGGCUUAACCCUGAGCGUGCUUUCGAUACGAGUUGACUUGAGGAAGGUAGGGGAGAAUGGAAUUCCUGGUGGAGCGGUGGAAUGCGCAGAUAUCAGGAGGAACACCAGUGGCGAAGGCGGUUCUCUGGGCCUUUCCUGACGCUGAGGAGCGAAAGCGUGGGGAGCGAACAGGCUUAGAUACCCUGGUAGUCCACGCUGUAAACGGUGGGUACUAGGUGUGGGGUCCAUUCCACGGGUUCCGUGCCGUAGCUAACGCUUUAAGUACCCCGCCUGGGGAGUACGGCCGCAAGGCUAAAACUCAAAGGAAUUGACGGGGCCCCGCACAAGCGGCGGAGCAUGCGGAUUAAUUCGAUGCAACGCGUAGAACCUUACCUGGGUUUGACAUGGAUCGGGAGUGCUCAGAGAUGGGUGUGCCUCUUUUGGGGUCGGUUCACAGGUGGUGCAUGGCUGUCGUCAGCUCGUGUCGUGAGAUGUUGGGUUAAGUCCCGCAACGAGCGCAACCCUUGUUCACUGUUGCCAACACGUUAUGGUGGGGACUCAGUGGAGACCGCCGGGGUCAACUCGGAGGAAGGUGGGGAUGACGUCAAGUCAUCAUGCCCCUUAUGUCCAGGGCUUCACGCAUGCUACAAUGGCUGGUACAGAGAGUGGCGAGCCUGUGAGGGUGAGCGAAUCUCGGAAAGCCGGUCUCAGUUCGGAUUGGGGUCUGCAACUCGACCUCAUGAAGUCGGAGUCGCUAGUAAUCGCAGAUCAGCAACGCUGCGGUGAAUACGUUCCCGGGGCU